CUUGGGUACUCGAGUGGCGAACGGGUGAGUAACACGUGGGUGAUCUGCCCUGCACUUCGGGGUAAGCCUGGGAAACUGGGUCUAAUACCGGAUAGGACGAUGGUUUGGAUGCCAUUGUGGAAAGUUUUUCGGUGUGGGAUGAGCUCGCGGCCUAUCAGCUUGUUGGUGGGGUAAUGGCCUACCAAGGCGUCGACGGGUAGCCGGCCUGAGAGGGUGUACGGCCACAUUGGGACUGAGAUACGGCCCAG
rnacentral:rRNA from 1 species